rnacentral:rRNA from 1 species
UACAGAGGUCUCAAGCGUUGUUCGGAUUCAUUGGGCGUAAAGGGUGCGUAGGCGGCCACCGCAAGUCGACUGUGAAAUCUCCGGGCUUAACUCGGAAAGGUCAGCCGAUACUGCGGGGCUAGAGUGCAGAAGGGGCAACUGGAAUUCUCGGUGUAGCGGUGAAAUGCGUAGAUAUCGAGAGGAACACCUGCGGCGAAGGCGGGUUGCUGGGCUGACACUGACGCUGAUUGUGCGAAAGCUAGGGGAGCGAACGGG